UCCACAUUAAUUUUCAACAUUUGCUACCCGUUCUAGUACCACUCAAACAUCACAUGGCCGCCAAGCUCGGUUAUACCCAGCGUGGGAAGACGCUGCUGCUGUACAACGGAUUCGCCUACGUCAAGGACCGCGAAGCCAUCAAAAGCUGCCACUGGAAAUGUUCACUGUACGGGAAGCUGAAGUGCCGUGCCAGGGCCGUCACCAAAACUUCAGUCGAUGGCCAGUUGAUGAUGAAAAUCACCAAGUCGACCCAUUCCCACGGUCAAGAUGCGUACAAAUUUGACCUUUCCACAGUUAAUAAACCUUUAUGAGGAUGUUGAUCUGUUGCGUUUUUCUUCAAAAGUGUAGAAUAACACCGUGAUCACAAAACUAACCCUAUUUUCUGUACAUUCGUAGGUCUUUCUGGUGGGGCCUACUUUGGGAAAACCGCACAGGGCUGUCUUAUGUUGUGGUAUGGAAACUACGGGUAUUUCCGCGAGAAGCAGAAGCACAACACUACCAACUGGAAAUGUGCCUGCUACAACAAAUAUCGCUGCAAGGCGCGGGCUGUGACGAAGGAAAUCGGCGGAGAGUACUACUUCCGGAUAACCUGUGAUGAACAUACCCAUCCUCCGUAUUCAAGCGGCUAUUGGCGAGCCAAACGGAGAAACGAAGUGGCCCCGUUGACGUCGGUGGUGCACUGUAGUGGAAGGUGGUGAUGGAAAAACGGGGUACUAGAUUACGCGUAUCGGAACAAUAAGUGUGAUAAUUAGGUAUUAUUUAGACUGUCUAUGCAUUUUAAUAAAUAAUGAGUAGUGCAUUUGUAUUCACUUAUAAACAAGUUGAUCUAGUACUACGACCUGAUCGCCAAAUGACUAAUAAUUUCCACACUUUCAGACGUUUCGUACAUACUGAACAAACGAGGAGCAACUCAGCUAUGCAUCAAUGGGUAUCCCUUCAUCCGUUCGAAAACAACCGAGGACUACCAGUAUUGGACGUGCAGAGAGUACAAAGUUCUACGCUGCACGGCUCGGGCCGUUUCGGGUCGUCGAGAACGGAGGGGCGAUCCUACCGUCAAGCUACGGGGUGUUCAUAACCACGUCGUUUUGAUGCGCCGUGAUGCGGAAGAAAGUGCAAAAGAUAUUUCGUUUACCCUUAAUAAACGAGGGGCGACUCAAUUAUGUGUCAAUGGAUACCCCUACAUCCGCUCCAAAACGACCGAGGAAUUCCAGUAUUGGUCCUGCAGCCAGUACAAAGUUUUACGCUGUCCGGCGCGAGCCAUUUCCAGCCGCAGAAGGCAGGGCAAUACGCCCACGAUCAAGCUUCGGGGCACCCACAGUCACGGGAUCAUUUUGGAGCGCCGCAAACCAGGAGAAAGUGCCAAAUUGCUGAAACUGAACGCCAUGGAACGCCGGGAGAUGGAAGUGUUGCCAAAUGAGCGGAAACGCUUGCCACCGGGAGCAGCACCACCGGUGGAAUGUGUACUGGAAGGCGAUAAUCCGUCCUCGCCGAAGUAAAUUCGAAUGGAUGAAUUGUUUGUUGAGCCAUUCUAGUACUGCAGCAUGAUAGCGUCGUAUGUAGGCGGAUGUCGAGAUAGAAUUUUGAAUAAUUUCUUUGUUUAACAAACUCGAAAUCUUGUAACACUUCUAUGUUACUUAUUUAAUCAAAUUGAUCUAGUACUGCAGUUCUUUUAAUUUGAUGUAAUUGCUGUUCCAAUUACAGAUAUUUCAUUCGUGAUUAGCAAACGUGGCCAUACUCAAUUAUGCGUCGAUGGUUACUUGUACACUCGCGCCAAAACAACCGAAGAAUUGCAAUUUUGGACAUGUAAUCAGCACAGGGUUCUAGGUUGUACGGCACGGGCAACGUCUGGCCGCGGUAAGAAAGAUGACCGACCGGUCAUGAAACUACGUGGCUUUCAUAAUCACAAGAUUAUCCUGGAACGUCGGAAGGCCGGUGAAGGCGCCAAGCUGCGAGAACAGUUCGCUCGCAAGCGUGAGGAGGAAGUGUUGCCAAGAAAGAAGAAGCGACUACAACCGCUACCGUUGGAGUGUGUUCUGGAUAUGGACAGCAAAGAAAAGUCCACUAUCGGAAAGCGGGAAAACAAUUGAAAAUGUAUUUUCAUAAAUUGGUUUGAGCACAAAUACUGUGAUGAGGGUUAAGGUUACAAGGUCUCAGAUUUUCAGUACUUCAGUUUGGAAGCACCAAAUGUAAGCUGGAAUAGAUGGAAGUUUGCAUAAUGUAAAUGUUGAAUAAAAUACUUGAUUAAAUCCCAAUCAAUUUCUAAUUUAUCUGUUUUGACAAAUUAAUCUAGUACUGCAGCUCUAUCAUUCAACUGAUUGUUAUUAUUGUUCAAUUUGCAGAUAUAUCAUUCGUAAUUAGCAAACGCGGUAAAACUCAAUUAUGCGUAGAUGGCUAUUUGUACACUCGGGCGAAGACAACUGAAGAAUUACAAUUUUGGACGUGCAAUCAGGAUAGGGUACUUGGAUGUACGGCACGGGCAACCACCGGUCGCGUUAAGAAGGGUGAUCGGCCGUCCAUCAAACUGCGCGGCUUUCACAGCCACAAGAUUAUUCUGGAACGUCGAAAGGCCGGUGAGUGUGCCAAGCUACGAGAGCAGUGUGUCCGCGAACGAGGGGAGGAAGUGCUGCCAAAGAAGAAGAAACGACUGCCUCCGCUGCCGCUGGAGUGUGUUCUGGUUACGGACAGCAAGGAAAAGUCUGGCGUAGUGAAAAAGGAUAACCAUUAAAAACGUAUUUUUAGAUGAUAUGUAACAAAAUGGGAAUAUUCUGUGAUGAGGGGCAAGGUUGCCAAGAAAGCAAUGUUAAAAUCAUAUGUUUCACUUUUAUGAAGAAAAGUCUCAGAUUUGAGCUAUUUCCCAAAAUUAAGACAAGGCGGAUUUUUCUUAACUUAACGGUAUGGUUUUAGUUGAUCACGUGUGCAUUUUUAUCAUAUCGGCACCAACAUUUCAAAAGGGCGUAACUGCAUUUACAACCAAUGCCUUCUCACAAAGCUGUGGAGCGUAUCCCAUCCCUCUCGAGCAAUCCACUAGCACAAAUAGAAAGAUAAAAUCCUCCUCUUUCGAUUAAUGGAUGUGAAUUGCGUGAGAUGAAUGAAAUACGACCCACAGCUCUGUGAGAAGGCAUUGGUUGCAAAAGCAGUUACGCCCUUUUGAAAUGUUGGUGCCGAUAUAGAAACGAUGUGUUUGUCAAAUAAGUCCAUCGCAAUUCGAAGUCUUCAUUUAUAUAAUUAAAUAUGAACACAAUGUUAAGAGAAUGCAAAUUUAUUUUACAGAUGCCGUAGUCCAGUACAUCAAUGGUAAAAAGGGAACGUUUCCUCGGUUGAAAAUCGGCGGACAUUAUUUUACGAGAAGGCGUAUCUGCAAGACCAGCACCCGGUGGUAUUGUGUCAAGGAACCGGCCCUGAAGUGUAACGUACGAAUCACAACCGAUGCAUUCGGAACGAUAAGACGGAUAAACAAUGUACACAAUCAUCCAAAAAUGGUAGAUACAUCCAAAGGACGACUGCUGACUACGUUUUUUGCGGAGAAAUCUAUUCAGAAGUACGAGAUGGAUCUUAGAAACUGACGCCACGUUUAUUUCAAGAGCAAAUAUAGGAAUUGCUGCUGAACCUACAGGUCCUGCAACUCCAUUGGUUUCUAAGUGAUGAUUGGAACAGUAAACUUAGGCAUACGUGAAGUUUGAAUUGAAAUUGAUCUCAUUACCAACAAUCCCCCAAAACUCCAUGGGGAACAGUCGAGUUCAACAAAUUACAAAUCGUCAGAUUUGUUCCUAUUACUUUUGAGUAUCAUCUAUUAAUAAAUAAUAAUUAAACAUACGCACGAUAUUUGAUUUGUAAUAAUAAACAAUCUUACCAAUCUAUUGAAUUAUCAAAAAGAACGAUUCCGAUGAAACUCAAGGGUUAACAUUAUCUCAGAUUUUGAAUUUUGAACCCUCAACUUAUUAUGAAAUUUUAAGAGAUGACACGUUUUUAAAUAGUUUCCGGAAAGCAUGUCCAGCGUUAUUAGAAAAACUUCAGAAGGCUACCAAAUGACAUUCAUCAGUAACACAGAAGCAGAAUCUCACCAACGAAAUAACUCUUAUUUUACAGGUAACGCAGUCAAUGCCAUGCGAUACAUUUGUACCGAUAAGGGAGCCCAACAAUUGGAAUACGACGGAUAUCACUUCUGCAAACGAAGGACAAAGAAGCACUGCAUCCGUUGGUAUUGCACUAUGUGGCGUAGGCUGAAAUGCACGGCACGGGUUACAACAAUCACUUCUAAUGGAGCUGUAUCGCAGUUUUGUGAUGAUCACAACCAUCCACCGACGGCGGAGUGUCCUAAAAUAAGCCACAAGCGCAAGCGCAAAUCUUAGUACUUCUAUCACGAUUGCCAUCUGAUUUACAAUAUGCUCGAAACAGGAUCGUUGAAUCCGAAACUACAGGUUGAGGAUUCUUGAUUGUGAUGUGUAUUAGCUACAUAUAUUGACGCCAUAUUUUUUUAAAUAUAAGAUCUUCAAUACCAUAAAGAAUGAGGUCCUAAUACUACUUUACAACCUUGAUAAAAGUAGGAAUGAUACAAAAAUCUAGUCUGAAAGAAAAAUAUUAAGCAAUACGUUUCAAUUGUUUCGGAUUACAAUUAAUUCUUGCUGCUUUUUUGUGUUCGAUGAAAACACCUCAUUCUGUAUUUUGUAGUCAGUACUCGAAAAUAAACAAAAAUAAAUUUGGCAACUCUGAAAAUAUACUGCCAGAAAAAUGUCACGGUAUAUCUUUAGAAAAUUUGCCAGGCUUGUUCCAUACUUCUCAACACAAAAUUGAGAUUUUUAGGUGUCAUUAUGAAUGAAUUUUCUUGAUGAAAAAUAAUUUUCAGGGAUGCCAGAAUUUCUGAUUUUUGUCGAAGGUGGCACGAAACAAAAUGUAACUUCCUAUUUUGAACGUAGAUUGGGUUUAUUUAUCUAACGAUCCCAAUGUUUUUUUAGACAUUUCAUUCGUCAUGAGCUGCCGGGGAAAAACUCAACUUAGCGUAAACGGUCACCUCUACACUUGUGACAAGACAACCGAUGACGCCAUGUACUGGUGUUGCAAUCAGCGCCGUGUUCUUGGCUGUACAGCUCGUGCUAAUACCGGACGUAGAAAGCAGGGAGAACCGCCAAGUAUUAAACUGCGCGGCUUUCACAAUCACGGAAUCAUCGCAGAACGACGCCGACCCGGAGAAUAUGCCAGGCUGAAGGAGCAGUACGACCGUGAACGGAAAGUGUUGCCAGACGUGGAGCCUCGUCGCCCUGCCCGUUCCAGAUCGAAAAAGAAGCAAAACUGAAUCAAUUUACUGUGUGUUAUCUUGAUAUUCUAGUACUACUAGUUGUGACCGUGACUAUGUUUCAAGAUGACCAGGUCACUAAUACAUGUACACUGACAAAUUUUGUGAUUCUUUUCUUGUGAUGCGCGCCAUAUAUCAACCAAACCAGAAUAUUAUCUAAUGAGGUAUCAUAAACUUUGCAGAUAUUUCAUUCGUCAUAAGUGCACGUGGUAAAACUCAGCUGAACGUUAACGGAUACCUUUACACGCGUGGCAAACUACACGGCGACUUUCAGUACUGGUCAUGUAAUCAGUACAGGGUUUUAAGUUGCACAGCUCGUGCUUCGACGGUUCGCUGCAAACGGGGCGAGAAACCAACCAUAAAACUUCGUGGUUUCCACAACCAUCCGCUUAUAGUGGAACGACGUCGGCCGGGAGAGUGUGCACGGUUGAAAGAGCUGUACGCUCCUCCUCCGAGGCAAGUGUUGCCAGACAGGAGGAAAUGUCAGCAGCUCCCCAAGCAGUAGGUGCCACUGCCACCGAUCGAGCAAUGCUUUGUAAAGGAAGAGAAAUAACGAACGCGUUGUCGGGGAUAAGAAUGAAGGCUGUCGUAGGAUUAGUGUAAUGAUUGCUCUAGUACUGCAUGUGAAGCAGUCUGACAUUGGGCAUAACAUUUGAAUUACUGAAACACAAACUAUCAUUCACGAAAGCUCUCAGAAUUCUACGGAUUGUUAUAAUGUAGCAGUUAAAAACAAGAUUCCACAAUUAAGCUUUGAAAUUCUCCAAUUGGAGUUUCAGUUAUCCUAGUGAACAAUACUUUGGAAUGCAGUAACAGGCAAUCACGCUUUCAUUGUGUAUUAAGUGUUAAAAGAACAUUCAGUUAAUGAGAGGGUGGUCAAGGACUACUGGGUACGUAGAGGCCACAAAAAAGUUUUGAAAUAAAACAGCAAAACAAUUGUGAAGUUGAUAUGUUAGUGAAGAGCAUGUAAUAUAGUCUAUGGAAUAGAGCCACCAACCUACAUAAGUCUGCCGAACAAUAAUUCACUAUAAUAUCCCUUCUUCAUUGACAGUUGUUCUAGGAUGCAGUCAAUGUCUCUUUGAGGGUUUGACCAAUAUUUAGAGAAUGAUCUUCAACUUCUCCAAACCUCCUUCAAAAUUUCAGAAACCAUGGCACACCGAGCAUCGCAACUCAAGAUCACCCUGCGUCAACUGAAACGGGAUCAGAACCGCCGACGAUCGCCAACUCGUUCGGAAAGGAUCCGCCAGGUGCAGUGGCUGAUCCGACAGCUGGAUAGUCAAUUCCGCCAGAUGUCCGAUCAAGACUUGAAAAAGCCCGUAAGAGUUAACGGUUUCACGUUUCCCCUGUCCUGCGAGGAGAACAUCGAGCGGCUUGAACUUAUGGUACAGCGGAAUCCCAGCAUUCGCGAGCAGUUUGUUAACUAUCUGUGCAAGCGGAAAUCAUUUAGCGAUACGGUCGAGGAAUGUUUUGGAAACUUCUUCACCGAUGAGGCCAUUUUGCGGUACAACUGGAAAGGACUCGAUCGUGAUCAGUGCCCCCGGAAGGCCAUGAUGAAUUACAGCAUCUUCACGGAUUGUAUGGUCGGUAUGUGUGAGAUGUGGUUUCUUUCAGAGUACAACGAUAUUCUAACAAGCUUUUUUGCCCUAGAUGCUUGGAGUUCUCACGGAGUGUCAAUGGAAAAGAUUCAACGCAGGAUUGGACGCAGGCGGUACUCGAGCCAAUGUGCCAGGAAAAAGAGAUUUUUAGAAAGGUUGUUUGAUUUGGAAUGAUUAACUAAGUCCGAAAGAAGUCCAGAAAGUACCCAAGUCAGAAAACAAACAAAAAUACUGUUUUUUUAUAAUCUAGUACCUCAUUCCGACGACAUAUUUGGUAUAUCCAAUAGAAUCUCAAUUUAAAACUGGUGCUUUCGUGAAGAAACUCUUGUUCUCUGAAAUGGAGUCAUGAUGAAAGAAAAAGUAAAACCGUUCUUUAACAAUUAGGAAAAACCCGAAUUAAUCCACCUAGCGGUGAUGGCGCCUUUCUCGUGCCUUGGAAACCCCAUUUCAAUAAAACUAAAGCGAAAUGUUGAUGUAAAUCGCAUUUUCAUACAAUUAACAGAAAUCCAUUUCAUGAUAUCAGAAAUCAUAUCGUUAAUCUGUCUUUUAAUGUUUGAGCCUCAAACUUAAGAAAAGACGCUAUCUUGAAUAUGAAGCCGCCAUUUAGGAUUUAAGUUUGCCAUCUUGGAUGUUCUGGUCGCCAUUUUUGGCGUCCAGGCAUCUUCCCUACGAAAAAUAUACUUCAUUAAACAGCCACCAUCUUGAAUUUAGAGCCGCCAUCUUGGAUUUUGGACCACCAUCUUGGAUAUUCUAGUUGCCAUUUUUGGAAUCCAGACAUCAUCCCCAUACCAAAUAUACCAGUAAUAAUUUCAGGCCCUAAAACUCCAUUAAACAACCGCGAUAUUGAAUUCGGAGCCGCCAUCUUAAAUUUUAGAUCGCCAUCUUGGAUAUCCUGAUCGCCUUUUUGGACUCUGAAAGUCUUCCUCAUACCAAAUAUACCAAUAUUGCAUGGUUUUAGAGCCUAAAACUUCUUUAAAAAGACGCCAUCUUGAAUUUGAAGCCACCAUCUUGGAUUUCAGACCGCCAUCUUGGAUAUUCUAGUCGCCAUUUUAGGAGUCCAGACAUAUUCCUCAUAUCAAAUACAUAUUCCCAUAUAGCGUGCUUUAAGAGCCUAAAUCUCUAUUAAACAGCCGACACCGUAGAGCUUCUGGUCUUCAGUGUUGAUUUCCGCACAAAACUCGUCAACCAUGCUAAAGGUUACAAAAAUCGCCGCAGUUUGAUUUAUCGCAUGAUGAGGCUAGUUCAGUUUUAUAUACGGCCAGUUCUACCGGUGCUGGUCCGGAUCACUGAAAUGGCCAUAACUCCGGAACGCCUUGGCUGAUCUGGACCAUUUUUGAUAGCAAACAAUUCCGGUUCGAUUCAGGCUAUAAUCCGAAAAAUCGGCCAAUGGGAAGUGCCUUAAAAGCGAGUGAACUUUUUUUGCGCACAUACAUACAUGCAUACACACAUACAGACAUAAUCUCAAUUCGUUGAAAUUAGUUGAUGGAUAUAUGCGACUUGAUACACAGAGCCUUUUUUCGAAAAAUCGUUUUUUGAGUGAACAUAUAGUUUUUUAGUACACUAAGUGUACGAUAAAGGCAAAACACUGCUUUAGAGCAAAGUCAAAAACAUGUAAAGUUCAAUUACUAGGUAACGGUUGAGAUUUGACCAUAUACGUAAAACAUUUUUUCACCAGUCUGUUUGCUUGGUUAUCAAAAAAUCCUAGCUUUGCUGUGUCGCAUACAGAGGCUCAGUUCAAUUUUAUAUUUAGCCGCUUUCGGAGGGACACCCGGAACUGGUUACGGCACUACCGGCUGUCCGUAAUGUGGUCCUAAUCUAUUUCUUUGAUAACCAGUCAUCAGGUUAUCAGAAAAUCCGUUAUUUGUUGUAUCGCAUGCAUGGGUUUGGUGCUCUUUUAUAUUUGGUCACAUCCGUCGGGACCCCCGGAACCGGUUCCGGACAACUACCGGUUCAAAUAUGGUCUGAUACUGUUUUCCUGCUAACCGUUCACCAGGUUAUCGAAAAUGCCGCUGUUGAUGUGUCGCAUCCGCAUGCAUGGGUUUGGUUCACUUUUAUAUUUGGCCACUUUCGGUGGGACAUCCGGAACCGGUUCUGGAACACUACCGGUUCAGAUAUGGUCUGAUACUGUUUUUCUGCUUACCGCUCAUAAGAUUAUCGAAAAUGCCGCUAUUUGAUGUGUCGCAUGCAUCGGUUUGGUACUCGUUUAUAUUUGGCCACUUCCGGCGGAACAUCCGGAACCGGUUCCGGAACACUAUCGGUUCAGAUAUGGCCUGAUACUGUUUUCCUGCUUACCGUUCAUCAGGAUAUCGAAAAUGCCACUGUUUGAUGUGUCGCUUGGGUUUGGUACUCUUUUAUAUUUGGCCACUUCCGGUGGGACAUCCGGAACCGGUUCCGGAACACUACCGGUUCAGAUGUGGUCUGAUACUGUUUUCCUGCUAACCGUUCAGCAGAUUAUCGAAAAAGCCGCUGUUUGAUGUGUCGCAUGCAUGAGUUAUGUUUAAUUUGAUAUUUGGCCACUUCCGGCGGGACAUCCAGAACCGGUUCUGGAACACUACCGGUUCAGUUAUAGUAUGAGAGUAUUUUCCUGCUUACCGUUCAUCAGAUUAUCGAAAAUGCCGUGGUUUGAUGGGUCGCAUGCAUGGGUUUGGUGCAUUUUCAUGUCUGGCCCCUUCCAGGGGUACCGAUCCGGAACACCUAAAUGGCCAUAACUCCGGAACGGCUGGAUCGAUCCGAACCAUUUUCAAUAGGAAACAAUGGGACCAGAUUCCGCGUCGAAUGAGCCGUCGGUCGUUAAAAUCGGUUGAUAUUUACUAUCUAAAAGUGAGGUGACCUUUUUUUGUACACAUACACACACACAUACAUACACACACACACACAUACACACACACAGACAUCAUCCCAACUCGUCGAGCUGAGUCGAUUGGUAUAUGAAACUUGCCCCUCCGGGGGCUCUAUCAAAAUUUCAUUUUCGGAGUGAACAUAUAGCCUUUCGGUACACCUUGGUGUACGAGAAAGGCAAAAAGAAAUAUUAAAAAUAAGGUCGCUCAAAUUGUUUCAAAUUAUUAUUUCUUUUAUUCCAGACACGGUAACGCAAGUCCAACCUACAACACUGCCCAUCGUAGGGCAGUGGUACGAAACCAAUUUAACGUUCACCAAAGGUCACCGAAGAAAGCUGUUACUGGAUCUACAGGGCUACACACUGGGUCCGAAGAGAAUUGACAAUCGUGUAACUUGGUGGCAAUGCUCAAAGAGAUACUGCCAGGCACGAGCCGCUACCUACGAUGAUAAGUACAUCAGAUUUGGAGAGUUAUAUCACAAUCAUCCGAUAAAAACGGCACCCAAAGAAUGGAUGCCUCUAGUGCCUGCUGAUCUAUCUUUUCUAGGUUCAAAAAACAAAAAACCAUAUUGUACAAACAAAAAUUUCAAAACACGUGCCGCUAUUAAUAAUGAAAGGAAUAUCAAAUUUAAAGAACUAUGCAACGUUGUCGACUCAUCUGUUUCCUUUUGAUUUGUCUGUUUUCUAAAAUUUAGUUCUAGUAUAACAUUUCGUUCAUUUCAUCUGAGUUAGCAUUGAAUUGGCUGAGAAAAUAUAAAGGGUUUCUUCACAAUCUAGUACAUAAUUUCUAUAACAUAUUUGGAGUAUUUGACAGAAUCUCAAUAUCUACCUUGUUCUUUCAUAAUAAUGCUCUGAGACAAUACAUUCUCUAAACAAUCUUGAAAAUCGCCUUGUGUAAUAAACUCACCACAGUUAUAAUAAAGCCAUUCUUGUGUUUUUUUUUUUAUUCUAGCCAUACCAAUUCAAGUCCGGCCUACAAUGUUGCCCAUCGUAGGGCAGUGGUACGAAACCAAUUUUACGUUCACCAAAAGUCGCCGAGACAAGCUGUUACUGGAUCUACAGGGCUACACACUGAGACAGAUAAGAAUUGGUAAACGAAUUACAUGGUGGUACUGCUCAAAGAAAACCUGCCCGGCACGUGCCGCUACCUUCGGUGAUAGGUACAUCAGUUUCGGAGAGUUAUAUCACAAUCAUCCAAUAAAAAGUGGUUCUACAGCGUGGAUUCCUCUAGUACCUACUGAUUUAUCUUUUCUACCAAGUUCAAAAGAUAUGGUCAAAAAAUGGAAAAAGAAGAAAAAUCCAAUUAGGUGCUUGGCAAGUCCAAAGGAAAUCAAAUAUGCACACAAUUAAUAAGAAUACACAGACUAUAUAGGGAAGCAUUUAGCCACCAAACGUGGUGGUUUUGAAAAAACUUCAAAGCUUGACUAUUGAUUGAUCUCCUUGAUUUGGCAGUUAAAAAAAACAGUUCCACUUUCUUUUCCAUAGUAUCAUCACUGAGAAAAUAAAAAAAAAAAACAUUCUAACAACUCAUGUUAAAAAAUAUUUGGUAUCUCUGACCUUUAUAAUGUGAUUCUAGAGACUAUACACUAGACGUUCUCUGAGUUUUGAGGAAAGACGUACUAGAAUGGGUUCUGCUUUUAGUUAAAAUUUUCUGUGCAAGUGAAAAUAAAAACUGAAUUUUGCCGAAAUCGGUCAAGAAGGGAGUAUUUAACAUGAAGUCAUUUGUAUUGCUGAAAAUUACAUAUUACUUUUGUUUUAUGUUAGAUGUGUAUUUUUAUUUAAUACUUUUCAAAUCAGGUUGUUUUUGUUUAUCAAUUCCAGGCAUAAAAGCUUCAUUACGGUCAACGACAAAGCCUAUCGUAGGGCAGUGGUACGAAACCGUUUUGACAUUUUCCACGAGUCUUAAAGGCAACCAGGUGCUCGAUAUACACGGAUACAGACUCUGUAAGAAAAACACAACCAAACAGCUUACUUGGUGGUAUUGUAUACGCAAACACUGCAAGGCACGUUCCGUCACAAUCGGUGAAACGUACAUAAAAUUUGGCAAGCUGAAGCAUGACCAUCCCAUAAGUGAAAGUUCCAAAUCUUGGAUUCCUUUGAUUCCGAUUGACUUAUCCAGCGUACCAAAUGCAACGGAUAUUGCCAAGGUGAGGAAGAAGGCUUCGUAACAUCGUUAGGUUUUUGGCUGACUAUUUGAUUAUAAUCUAGUUUUAGUACAUCAUUUUGCUAACAGUGUUGUGUUCACCAAUAGAGAGAUAACGGAAAACACAUCAAACAUAGAUUCUAUGCCGUUCAAUUCAACGUUAUUGACUGAGAAAACAAUAUGUUAAUGAUCUAGUACCUCAUUUCAACAAAGAAAUCUGGUAUAUCUGACAGAAUCUUAAAAUUGAAGAUUAGCAGGGUGAUGAAAACAUAACUGGAUUAGGAUUUUGGCCGACUAUCAUCAUUGAAUUGGAAGAUUGAAUAAAGAGAUGUCAAUUUCUCAUAAAGUAGUUCUUGUAUAUCAUUUCGAUGACACAGUGCCAUUUCAGCCAAAUGCAGGCUUCACAUGUCUAUAUAUCUGCGUAGUGUUCCUUCCUCUACGUAAAGUACUUGAGCUCGACCAUUUCUGCAUAAUUCACUUUCCACAAACUGCGUUCUUCCUUCGGAAUGGAGCUAAAGCCGUGAAACAUUUCUGAAAUGAACUAACCCAGAGAAAAUGGUUAGAGUGGUGAAUAGUUCAUCACAGCUUGAAUCAUAUUCAUGAUUCCAUAGAUUCGCGCUCCGCAAGUUAGAACUGUUUGCCAAACAGUAGAGGCAUAUCUCCCGAAUGGC